UACGGGGGGAGCAAGCGUUAAUCGGAAUUACUGGGCGUAAAGCGUGCGCAGGCGGUUGUGCAAGACAGAUGUGAAAUCCCCGGGCUCAACCUGGGAACUGCAUUUGUGACUGCACGGCUAGAGUGUGUCAGAGGGGGGUAGAAUUCCACGUGUAGCAGUGAAAUGCGUAGAUAUGUGGAGGAAUACCGAUGGCGAAGGCAGCCCCCUGGGAUGACACUGACGCUCAUGCACGAAAGCGUGGGGAGCAAACAGG
rnacentral:rRNA from 1 species